rnacentral:tRNA from 1 species
GGUGAUAUGCCUAAGUUGGUAAAGUGCUUGCCUCUCAUGUAUAAGGCCCUGGGUUCAAUCCCCAGCACCA